UACGUAGGGUGCAAGCGUUAAUCGGAAUUACUGGGCGUAAAGCGUGCGCAGGCGGCUAUGCAAGACAGAUGUGAAAUCCCCGGGCUCAACCUGGGAACUGCAUUUGUGACUGCAUGGCUAGAGUACGGUAGAGGGGGAUGGAAUUCCGCGUGUAGCAGUGAAAUGCGUAGAUAUGCGGAGGAACACCGAUGGCGAAGGCAAUCCCCUGGACCUGUACUGACGCUCAUGCACGAA
rnacentral:rRNA from 1 species